UUCCGAUGGAAGUCAUUCCUUGCCCAUGUUGACCACGCCGCGCGGAGAGCACCAUGGCGGUGGACGACGGCGAGGCCUAGGAAGGAGACUACUGUAACGCCCGGAUAAUCAUGCUACAGUAAUCUCACGUUAAUGAUGGCACGUCACCUCUGUCACUGUAAUUAAUCUCGGGUUAAUUCAAAACCGUUUCAAAUUUAAAUCCUAAAUAAGUCAAACGACAAAAGUUUUCAAAUAUUAUAAUAAAAAUGUUCGGGCCAUGCCAAUUAUUGCAUCGGUAAUUAUGGUGAAGUAAACACAUUUUUAUAAAAUGCCUAAAUGCUUUUAAAUGAAUUAAACAGAAAAGAAAAUAAAUAAAUAAAAAGAAAAUACAAAAGGGGAGAAACAAACAAAAAAAAGAGAAGAAGAGAAACCCCCCCACUGGACCCUGGCCCAACUGGGCCGACCCCAGACCCAGCCGGCCUGGCCCACCUCGCUCGACCGUGCCCUCCCCUUCCCUGUUCCCCCGACCGGGGUCGGAACAGGGGCAGGUCCCCGCCGCACCCCCUCGCCGGUGACGGGGGAGGAUAAGGCCGCCACGCCCCGCCUCCUCGAUCGCGCCUCCCACUCGCCCCCACCCUCGCCCUCGGUUCCUUCGCCUCUCCCUCCUCCCUCAGCUCCACCUCGUUCCCCACCGCAAACGAGCGCCGCCGUCGCCAUGGCUGCGCCAUAGCCGCGGCCACCGAGCCCCGUUCUCCUCCCCGACGUGUCCACGAGCUCCGCCGCGUCGAGCCCAUCCUCCCCGACCACCUGCGCGAGCCGGGACCCCCUACAUCACCCCCAACGCCGUCGCCUUCUUCCUCGGGUCGCCGCCGUCUUCUUCGACUCCGGCGACUGCUGCUGCUACUAAGCCACUCACCGGCCUCCGUGUACCGCGCGGUGAGCUCCUCUACCUCCUACCCUUCUCUGUUUGCUCUCGCGCGAACCUUAGCUAGCUCUCACGACGAGGCCGAAUGCGUCGCCGCGGAGCUCGUCGCCGACGCGUCUCCGGUGACGGUUUGGUCACGGGCUCGUACCCAUUGGACUCGCCGCACCACGUAGUUCCUCCCCAGCCUCCUCUUUUGCUCAAUAGCGUGCUGCCUUGCCGUUUCCAUCUUCGACCGAAGCCGCUCCGCCGCUGGCCUCGACGCCGGCGCCGAUUCCAGCCAACUCCGGCGACGCCACCACCGCUGUUCGACGCGCGUUGCUCCGCUCGUUCGAACGCGCCCUCGCGCGCGCGAAACGGUUGCCCGUAGCCGAAAUCCGACGAGGUCCGAAGCCCUCCGCCGUGUUUGGCGUCACCGGCGACGUGCCACCGGCCGCCGCUGACGUGGCACACCUAGGGCCACCCCGGGUCACUGCCAGCGGGCCCCGCGGGCCCCGUUGAAUGGGUUGACCCAGUCAACGUGCUGACUAGGCGUCUUUGUGACGCUGACAUGCGGGCCCCGCCGCAUAAGUAAACUAAAUAAAAUGUUUUUAUAAAAUAAAACUAAUUAAUUAAUCUAAAUAGGCACUGACAGGUGGGGCCUACCUGCUAAUAACCUUGUUUAAGUUAGUUAUAAAACUCUGUUAGUGCCCUGUCAAUGACAUGUGGGUCCCACUGGACCCACCUGUCUGGUUUGACUGGUCAGCCAACCUGUUGACCUGCUGACGUCAGCGUUACCUCAUGCUGAUGUCAUAAUUCAUUUUUGCUAAAUUCAAAUAAUUCCAGAAAUUCAAAUAAUCUUUGAAAAUUCAUAUCUUUUAAACCGUAACUCGGAUGAAAAUGUUUUCUACAUGAAAGUUGCUCAGAACGACGAGACGAAUCCGGAUACGCAGUCCGUUCGUCCACCACACCUCCCUAACAUAUCGAACUCGCAACUUUCCCCCUCCGGUCCGUCUGUCCGAAAAUGCAAAACAUCGGGAAUACUUUCCCGGAUGUUCCCCCUCUUCGCCGGCACCACCUACUGUCGCGUUAGGACACACCUCGCACUGCUCAUUGUCAUGUCACGCAUCGUCAUGUUUAUGUUUGCAUUGUAUUUACUGUUUCUUCCCCCUCUUCUCUCUGGUAGACUACGAGACCGACACUGCUGCUGCCCAGUUCGACUACCGAGUUGACGACCCCUCCUACUUGCCAGAGCAACCAGGCAAGGCCCCCCUUGAUCACCAGAUAUCGCCUAUUCUUCCCUAUACUGCUUGCAUUAGAGUAGUGUAGCAUGUUACUGCUUUCGGUUAAUUCUAUUCUGAUGCAUAGCCUGCCAUUGUUACUACAGUUGUUACUCUUACCUGCAAUCCUAAAUGCUUAGUAUAGGAUGCUAGUUUUCCAUCAGUGGCCCUACAUUCUUGUCCGUCUGCUGUGCUAUACUAUCGGGCCGUGAUCACCUGGGCGGUGAUCACGGGUAUAUACUUAUAUACUAUAUACAUGACACAUGUGGUGACUAAAGUCGGGUCGGCUCGUAGGAGUACCCGCAAGUGGAUGUUUGUGGCGGAGCGACAGGGCAGGUUGAGACCGCCUAGGUGAGAGGUGGGCCUGGCCCUGGUCGGCGUUCGCGGAUACUUAACACGAUUAACGAGAUCUUGGUAUUUGAUCUGAGUCUGGCCAUUUGGCCUAUACGCACUAACCAUCUACGCGGGAGUAGUUAUGGGUAUCCCGACGUCGUGGUAUCAGCCGAAGCUCUUUUGACGUCAGCGACUGAGUGGCGCGCGCCGCAUUGGACCGUAAGCUUGCGCUUGUAUUAAGGGGGCUAAGUCUGCUUCCGGCCGCGUACGCAACGUGCAGGUGUGCUUAGGGCGAUGGGCCCAGACCCCUGCGCGCAUAGGGUUAGACCGGCGUGCUGACCUCUCUGUUGAGCCUAGGUGGGGCUGCGACGUGUUGAUCUUACGAGGCCGGGCAUGAACCCAGAAAAGUGUGUCCGGCCAAAUGGGAUCGAGCGUGUUGGGUUAUGUGGUGCACCCCUGCAGGGAAGUUUAUCUAUUCGAAUAGCCGUGUCCCUCGGUAAAAGGACGACCCGGAGUUGUACCUUGACCUUAUGACAACUAGAACUGGAUACUGAAUAAAAUACACCCUUCCAAGUGCCAGAUACAACCCGGUGAUCGCUCUCUAACAGGGCGACGAGGAGGGGAUCGCCGGAUAGGAUUAUGCUAUGCGAUGCUACUUGGAGGACUUCAAUCUACUCUCUUCUUCAUGCUGCAAGAUGGAGAUGACUAGAAGCGUAGUCUUCGACAGGACUAGCUAUCGCCCUUUUAUUCUGGGAUUCUGCAGUUCAGUCCACUGAUGUGCCCCUUUACACAUAUACCCCUGCAUAUGUAGUGUAGCUCCUUGCUUGCGAGUACUUUGGAUGAGUACUCACGGUUGCUUCUCUCCCUCUUUUCCCCCUUUCCUUUCUAUCUGGUUAUCGCAACCAGAUGCUGGAGUCCAGGAGCCAGACGCCACCAUCGACGACGACACCUACGACACUGGAGGUGCCUACUACUACGUGCAGGCCGCUGACGACGACCAGGAGUAGUUAGGAGGAUCCCAGGCAGGAGGCCUGCGCCUCGUUCGAUCUGUAUCCCAGUUUGUGCUAACCUUCUUAAGGCAAACUUGUUUAACUUAUGUCUGUACUCAGAUAUUGUUGCUUCCGAUGACUCGUCUGCGAUCGAGCACUUGUAUUCGAGCCCUCGAGGCCCCUGGCUUGUAUUAUGAUGCUUGUAUGACUUAUUUAUGUUUUAGAGUUGUGUUGUGAUAUCUUCCCGUGAGUCCCUGACCUUGAUCGUACACAUUUGCGUGCAUGAUUAGUGUACGGUCAAAACGGGGGCGUCACAAGUUGGUAUCAGAGCCGACUGCCUGUAGGACCCCCCUUUCCACACUCCUUGGCCGAAGUCGAGUCUAGACGUUACAAAACUUUUACUAACAUGGCUGUGUGUCUUACGGGCCCACGUCGCCAUUGGGUGGUACUAGGAUCUUUUACUCCUCGACCUUUACUCUGGGACUCUGAACUCUCUUCUACUCGGGUUAAACGAAUUUACUAACUCUAACACUAGGAUCCCGUGACCGCAUUCACCCCAAAGUUGGAUAAGCCAUAGUUGUUUCUUAGAAUAGUAUUUUGAACAAUUCACACACUGUCAUUUGACUCCUUUGAAACGUCUUUCCUUUCAGAUGGAACCCACGAGGCAGGUCGUGCGCCACACGACGGCCAUUGGUGCCUCGGGAUCACCGGCUGUGCUAGCUGAGAUGAUGACCUAUCUGGGUUAUCGCUGGCACCCUGAGUACACCGUCUACGAGGAGUACCAGGACUUUAACCAGGAGCAGUAUCGUGCCAUCGUCCACCUCUACUCGCGGGAGUAUGACUCCACUACUGUGCUGCACACCGCACAUGGUGUUGGUGUGACCAUCGAUAUGGCUGUCCACGAUGCUGCCUAUGCUGCUCUGACACGUCUUCGUGGAGAGUAUCGGGAGUUGGACACCUCCCCUUUCAGGCACAUUGCUAUCGCAUCUGAUGUUGGUGCGGAGGGAUACUAUACUGCUGCCUACUCCACUGUCACCCGAGAGCCCUUCUACCAUCAGAACCUGGUUCUGCAUGCUGAUGGGCUGGAUCGAGCUAACCGAGCUCUUCGCCACGAGAUGUACACCACCCGUCAACACCUUUACCGUGCUCUGACGCUGCUGCACCCCUUUGUCCGAUCUGGACAGCUACCGCGUACUGCGAUCUACCCAGCCAGGACCGUGAUGCCCCACGGUGUCGGUUGGCCAGAGGUGGGAGGCUACUCUCCCGCACUUGGUCCUCUUUUGCCACCUGAGCGUCGGGCUCUACACCUGAGUAUCCGCGGCCCCCAGUCUGCUGACAUGGAGGGCUAUCCGUUGCCUCACUACCAGCUGUCGGGCUACGAUUACCUCCACAGUACCUCUUGGGACUGAUGUAGGCUUGUUUGUAGUGUUAGAUGCAUUUGCCGCGAGCCUGUGUGCCGCCUAUGUUGUUUUAGUCGAUGUACUGAACUCUAUGUGCUGAACUCUAUGCAUGACCCCUUUUGUAAGUUAUGCCGACUACUAUGUAGUAGCUAUCGUGCUCCUUUCAUUAUGCAUGUUUCAUCAUGAAUGAUUCUUGUCUUUGCAAAUUUCUCAAUGCUGAACUACCCCUGUUAUAUAUUAGCAGGAUGGUUAGACCAGGUGGUCGUGGUCGUGGUGGCGAUGCCCCACCACCACCUGAGUACAUGGCUGGUAUGAUCCAACAGUUCGAACUGAACCGCCAAUUCAUGGAAAAUAUGAUGGCUCAGUUUCCUCGCCCCAAUAUGGACCAGCAACCAACCCCAGUAACUCUGCAGGAAUUCAUGCGCCUCAAUCCAACUAUGUACCGCAGCUCAACUCAGCCUCUGGAUGCUGAUGACUGGCUCCAUGACAUCACCUAUGAGAUGGAGUCUGCCAAUGUAGCCCCUGCCAGCUAUGUCAACUUUGCUUCCUUCUUUCUGAAGGGACCCGCAGCUCAAUGGUGGGACAGCCACAGGCGUACUCUGCCAGCUGGAACAAUCAUCACAUGGCCAGACUUCCAAGCAGCCUUCCGUGCCCGCUUCAUUCCUCAAGGAGUCAUGGACCGGAAGAAGCGUGAGUUCCGUAACCUCAUCCAAGGCAACAAAACUGUUGAAGCUUAUCAGCGGGAGUUUCUGGACUUGUCUCGCUAUGCUGAGGAGGACAUUGCAACUGAUGCACGCAGACAGGAGAAGUUCCGUGAUGGCCUUCAAGCUGACAUCAAGCUCGCACUUCUAGUGCAUGACUUUGCUGAUUUCGCCACCUUGGUGAACAAGGCCAUCAAUGUCGAAACUGGUCUCCAGGAAUACCAGAGCUCUCACAGGCGCAACCGUGACACGGGCUCAUCUUCGGGCUCGCCCGCACAGAAGCGUAAGAUAUGGAUCCCGAACAGCAUGUACCGUCCAAAUGCAUCUGCCCCAAGGCAGACCUAUGCUGCACCUCGUCUGCCUCCACCACCAUCUAGGCAGUCAAGACUUCCAGCUCCACCAUCCCAAGCUCCUGUUCCCACUCCCAAUAAUGGUUUGUGCUACAAGUGUGGACAACCAGGUCACCGUGCCAGGGACUGCAAUCAGAAUCAGAAUCAACUUGCCCUUCCAGCAACGGGCCGUGGUAACAACCAGCCCCGCAACAACAAUGCUAAGUCUUAUGGUCAUGCUCAUGCCAACCACGUUGAUCUCAACGAAGCUCAAGACCAGCCUGCUACUGUGAUGGGUACACUCCUCGUAAAUUCAGUACCAGCAUCCGUUUUAUUUGAUACAGGUGCAUCGCAUUCAUUCAUGUCAGAAGAUUUUGCAUACAAGCACGACGUGAAAUGUGAGGAGAUGAACACCUCUGUAUUGGUCAAAACCCCCGUGGGACAGUGUCAAACCUCCCUGGUUGGCAUCGACGUCCCCGUGGAAAUCGAAGGGCCGGAAUUCUAUGCCUCUCCCAUUAUCCUGAAGUCAUCUAACAUCGACCUCAUUUUGGGGAUGGAUUGGUUGAAAGCGCAUACUGCUUCUAUAGUUUGCGCCACUAAGACCGUCCAUCUACUUCACCCUUCAGAUGAAAUAGUUGCUUACCAAGCUCAUCUGGUGCAAAAUGCCGAGGCAAGGCUCUAUGCAUUGAAUGCAUUGAACGCUGCACCACUCGAGGGCAUUGAAAACAUUCCCGUCGUGCGUGAAUUCCUCGACGUCUUCCCUGAAGAACUUCCAGGGAUUCCCCCUGCUAGAGCGGUCAAAUUCAUCAUCGACUUGAAACCAGGCACCACUCCUAUAGCCAAGCGACCCUACAAAAUGCUGCCGCAUGAACUCCUUGAGCUUAAGGAGGAAAUCGACAAAUCUCUUCGCAAAGGAUUCAUUCGCCCAAGUUGUUCUCCUUGGGGAGCACCUUCUCUCUUUGUCAAGAAGAAGGAUGGGACUAACCGAUUGGUUCAAGACUACCGUCCUAUAAACCAAGCUACCAUUCAGAAUAAAUACCCUCUUCCUCGGAUCAAUGAUCUGUAUGAUCAACUGGCGGGUUCGUCAGUGUUCUCUAAGCUCGACUUGAGGUUGGGUUACCACCAGAUCCGUGUUCGCGAAGAGGAUAUCCCAAAGACCGCCUUCGUGACUCGAUAUGGUUGAUACGAGUACACCGUCAUGUCUUUUGGUUUAACCAAUGCUCCAGCCACCUUCUCUCGUAUGAUGAACUAUAUAUUCAUGGAUUACCUCGACAAGUUCGUCGUGGUUUAUCUGGAUGAUAUCCUGGUAUUUUCCAAGAACGAAGAAGAACAUGCUGAACAUCUUCGACUCGUGCUGGAAAAGCUAUGAGAGCAUCAACUAUAUGCAAAGUUCUCCAAAUGUGAAUUCUGGCUACCGGAAGUAACCUAUCUUGGGCAUGUCAUCUCUAAGGAUGGUAUUGCCUUCAACCCCGAGCGAGUUCAGGCUAUUCUUGAUUGGACUCCUCCCAAGAACGUUAAGCAAGUCAGAAGUUUUCUCGGUCUCGCCAGCUAUUGCCAUCGAUUCGUCGAGAACUUCUCCAAGAUCGCCAGGCCUCUGACUAACCUGUUGCAUAAGGGCGUCAAGUUCCAAUGGACAGACAAAUGUCAGGAAAGUUUCCAGGCACUCAAAGACAAGUUGACUUCUGCCCCAGUUCUAGCUCCACCUGAUACUAAGAAGGACUUCGUCAUUUACUGCGACGCUUCCCGUCAAGGAUUAGGCUGUGUCCUAAUGCAAGACCGCAAAGUGAUUGCUUAUGCCUCUCGGCAAUUGCGCCCUCACGAAGAGAACUACCCAGUUCACGACCUCGAACUUGCUGCUGUCAUUCAUGCGCUGAAGCAGUGGCGACAUUACCUUCUUGGUAAUCGUUGCGAGAUCUUCACUGACCACCAAAGUCUGAAGUAUCUGUUUACUCAGCCAGAUCUGAACCUCCGUCAGCAGAAAUAUAUGGAGCUUGUUGCAGACUUUGACUUGGGUAUUUCCUAUACGCCAGGCAAGGCUAAUGUAAUGGCUGAUGCCUUGAGCCGCAAGUCUUACUGCAACCACCUCCAGGUUCACAAAGUUCAGCCCUCGCUUGUUGAAGAAUUCAGGAAGCUGAACCUCCAUAUUGUUCCUCCGGGUGCACUUGCUCCCCCUCCUAAGGAGUUUGGCAAGGUGAAUCUCCACGUUGUUACCCAGGGUUCCCUCAAUACCCUAGUUGCUAAACCAGAUCUCGUGGAUAGCAUCAAAAGGCUACAGAAGUAUGACUCUGAAGCCCACAAGAUUAAGCGCUACCUCGCAGAAGGAAAGCCCUCAUUCUUCACCAUUGCUGAAGAUGGCACCCUAUACUUCAAGGGCCGCCUAGUGGUGCCAUGUGCAGAGAAAAACCUGGAUAUGACACAGGAAGUUAUGAAAGAAGCUCAUGAUACGCCUCUCUGUAUCCAUCCUGGUAGUACAAAGAUGUACCAAGACAUCCGUCAGAGAUUCUGGUGGUCUAAUAUGAAGCAAGACAUUGCUCGAUAUGUUGCUGAGUGUGACGUUUGCCGUCGUAUCAAAGCAGAACAUCAAAGGCCUGCUGGAACUCUACAACCUAUCUCUAUUCCCGAAUGGAAAUGGGACCAUGUUGAGAUGGACUUCGUCACUGGAUUUCCCAAAUCACAGAAAGGUAAUGAUGCUAUUCUUGUCGUCAUUGACCGGCUUUCCAAAGUUGCACAUUUCCUGGCGGUCAAAGAAACGAUCACUGCUAGUCAGCUGGCAACGCUCUAUAUGUCCAGGAUUGUUUCACUCCACGGUAUUCCAUUGGUUAUCAGCUCAGACCGUGGCAGCUUAUGCACUUCAAGAUUCUGGGCAAGUUUCCAAGAAGCUAUGGGAACUCAUCUGUCAUUCAGUACUGCAUUUCAUCCUCAGUCGCAGGGGCAAGUUGAACGCGUCAACCAAGUUCUCGAAGACAUGCUUCGAGCUUGUGUUAUUUCCUUCGGCAAGAAAUGGGAGGAAUCUCUCCCGUAUGCUGAGUUCUCUUAUAAUAAUAGCUAUCAAGCUAGUUUGAAGAUGGCCCCCUUCGAAGUGUUAUAUGGACGAAAGUGCCGAACCCCUCUGAACUGGUCAGAAACUGGGGAACGUCCACUCUUUGGUCCGGAUAUUAUCCAAGAUGCCGAAGAACAAGUCCGCAUUAUUCGUGAGAAUCUCAAGACUGCUCAAUCACGUCAGAAGAGUCAGUAUGACCGUCAUCAUAAAGACAUGGUCUAUCAACCUGGUGAAAAGGCUUAUCUUCGAGUCACACUAAUGAAGGGUGCUCACCGUUUCGGAAUCAAGGGCAAACUAGCUCCUCGCUAUAUUGGCCCAUUCACUAUUCUCGAAAGGCGUGGAAAAAUGGCAUACCAACUGGAGCUUCCGCCGAACCUUUCUCAGGUUCACGAUGUGUUCCAUGUGUCACAACUCCGCCGUUGCUUCAAGGACCCAAUACGAGCAGUGGAUCAUGAAGUGCUCGAAUUGCAGCAGGACCUCUCCUAUAAGGAGCAUCCGGUCCGCAUUCUCGACCAAGCUGAACGCCGCACACGUCAGAAGGCGAUCAAGUUUCUCAAAGUCCAGUGGUCGCACCAUUCUGAAGAUGAAGCCACUUGGGAACGAGAGGAUCGUCUGCGCGAAGAAUACCCCGCAUUGUUUCCUUCUACCUCCUAAAUCUCGGGACGAGAUUUCUUGUAGUGGAGGAGAUUUGUAACGCCCGGAUAAUCAUGCUACAGUAAUCUCACGUUAAUGAUGGCACGUCACCUUUGUCACUGUAAUUAAUGUCGGGUUAAUUCAAAACCGUUUCAAAUUUAAAUCCUAAAUAAGUCAAACGACAAAAGUUUUCAAAUAUUAUAAUAAAAAUGUUCGGGCCAUGCCAAUUAUUGCAUCGGUAAUUAUUGUGAAGUAAACACAUUUUUAUAAAAUGCCUAAAUGCUUUUAAAUGAAUUAAAACAGAAAAGAAAAUAAAUAAAUAAAAAGAAAAUACAAAAG
rnacentral:lncRNA from 1 species